rnacentral:lncRNA from 1 species
CUCGUUAUUGCAAAAUAAUGAACUUAAUAUAUCUGACAUUUUCUCCCUACCCAGUUUACCCCUAUACAUUUUUAUGAUGUGGACUGGUCAUUGUUAUUGAAUCGUAGGCAAUUUGAUUGGAUUAAGUUGUUAUUAGUUUACCUUCAAACCUGUUUAUGCUUUUCAUACAUGACUAUUGAUUAAUCAGAACGUGCAUGAAUGUGACCGGUAACUGAAAUGACCUUCAAACUGGACACUGGACGAGUCAAUAUUAUGUUUUAUCAAUGAAAGUUAAGGUAUGAAAGGUAAGAAUUGCCACUUAUUCGAUUUUCACAAAAUUUUCGGAAUAUACAGUUGGAAAGGUUAUUUUUUAAAAGCCUAUUG